AUGUUCUCCACAUCUCUCCUGCUGCUCCUGGCUGCUGCAGCUGGUACUGAAUGUAUCGAGCUGGUUCAGACUGCAGUCAUGCAUGUUAAACCUGGAGAACCAUUUUCAGUCUCCUGUAAGAUUACUGGUUAUACAUUUACAAGUUACUGUACCAACUGGAUUCGGCAGCUCUCAGGAGGGGCACUGGAAUGGAUCGGGUGGCUCUGCAGUUCCAGCAGCUCUGGCACCAAAGAUUCACUAAAGAACAAGAUCAGUUUUACUGCCGAGGCCUCCAGUAACACCGUGUUUUUACAAGGGAAGAACUUUCAGACUGAGGACACAGCUGUGUAUUACUGUGCUCGUAAUGCACCUCAUCACAAACUGUAG